GUCGAGAAUCUUUCACAAUGGGGGCAACCCUGAUGGAGCGACGCCGCGUGGAGGAUAAGGUCUUCGGAUUGUAAACUCCUGUCAUGCGUGAACAAGGUUGCCUGGUUAAUACCUGGGCAAGUUGAUGGUAACGCAAGAGGAAGAGACGGCUAACUCUGUGCCAGCAGCCGCGGUAAUACAGAGGUCUCAAGCGUUGUUCGGAAUCACUGGGCGUAAAGGGUGCGUAGGUGGCGUGGUAAGUCAGAUGUGAAAGCCCGGGGCUCAACCUCGGAACUGCAUACGAUACUGCCAUGCUAGAGUACUGGAGAGGUGACUAGAAUUCUCGGUGUAGCAGUGAAAUGCGUAGAUAUCGAGAGGAAUACCAAAGGCGUAGGCAGGUCACUGGACAGUUACUGACACUGAGGCACGAAGGCCAGGGGAGCGAACGGGAUUAGAUACCCCAGUAGUCC
rnacentral:rRNA from 1 species